GGCGAGUGAGCGGCAACAGCUCAAAUUUGAAAGCUAGCCUUCGGGUUCGCAUUGUAAUUUGUAGAGGAUGCUUUGGGUAAAACGCCAGUCUAAGUUCCUUGGAACAGGACGUCAUAGAGGGUGAGAAUCCCGUAUGUGACUGGAAAUGUUAACCUAUGUAAAGCUCCUUCGACGAGUCGAGUUGUUUGGGAAUGCAGCUCUAAAUGGGAGGUAAAUUUCUUCUAAAGCUAAAUAUUGGCGAGAGACCGAUAGCGCACAAGUAGAGUGAUCGAAAGAUGAAAAGCACUUUGGAAAGAGAGUUAAAAAGCACGUGAAAUUGUUGAAAGGGAAGCGCUUGCAAUCAGACUUGUUUAAACUGUUCGGCCGGUCUUCUGACCGGUUUACUCAGUUUGGACAGGCCAGCAUCAGUUUCGGCGGCCGGAUAAAGGCUCUGGGAAUGUGGCCUCCACUUCGGUGGAGGUGUUAUAGCCCAGUGUGUAAUACGGCCAGCCGGGACUGAGGUCCGCGCUUCGGCUAGGAUGCUGGCGUAAUGGUUGUAAGCGACCCGUCUUGAAACAC
rnacentral:rRNA from 1 species